rnacentral:rRNA from 1 species
AUUGAACGCUGGCGGCAUGCUUUACACAUGCAAGUCGAACGGCAGCGCGGGCUUCGGCCUGGCGGCGAGUGGCGAACGGGUGAGUAAUACAUCGGAACGUGCCCAGUAGUGGGGGAUAGCUCGGCGAAAGCCGGAUUAAUACCGCAUACGACCUGAGGGUGAAAGCGGGGGAUCUUCGGACCUCGCGCUAUUUGGGGGGCCGAUGGCAGAUUAGCUAGUUGGUGGGGUAAAGGCCUACCAAGGCGACGAUCUGUAGCUGGUCUGAGAGGACGACCAGCCACACUGGGACUGAGACACGGCCCAGACUCCUACGAGAGGCAGCAGUGGGGAAUUUUGGACAAUGGGCGAAAGCCUGAUCCAGCAAUGCCGCGUGUGUGAUGAAGGCCUUCGGGUUGUAAAGCACUUUUGGCGGGAACGAAAAGGACUGUGCCAAUACCACGGUUCGAUGACGGUACCCGCAGAAUAAGCACCGGCUAACUACGUG